rnacentral:rRNA from 1 species
UACCAGCUCUCCGAGUGGUGUGGAUGUUUAUUGGGCCUAAAGCAUCCGUAGCUGGCUAGGUUAGUCCCCUGUUAAAUCCACCGAAUUAAUCGUUGGAUUGCGGGGGAUACUGCUUAGCUAGGGGACGAGAGAGGCAGACGGUAUUUCCGGGGUAGGGGUGAAAUCCUAUAAUCCCGGGAAGACCACCAGUGGCGAAGGCUGUCUGCUAGAACGCGCCCGACGGUGAGGGAUGAAAGCUGGGGGAGCGAACCGGAUUAGAUACCCGGGUAGUCCCAGCUGUAAACGAUGCAGACUAGGUGUUUGGACGGCCACGUGCCGUUCUAGUGCCGCAGGGAAGCUGUUAAGUCUGCCGCCUGGGGAGUACGAUCGCAAGAUUGAAACUUAA